ACGGCUCAGUAACGCGUAGUCAAUCUACCCUGUUGACGGGGAUAACCUCGGGAAACUGAGAAUAAUACCCGAUAGAACAUUAUGCCUGGAAUGGUUUAUGUUUCAAAUGAUUUAUCGCAAUAGGAUGGGACUGCGGCCUAUCAGUUUGUUGGUGAGGUAAUGGCCCACCAAGACUAUUACAGGUACGGGCUCUGAGAGGAGUGGCCCGGAGAUGGGUACUGAGACACGGACCCAGGCCCUAUGGGGCGCAGCAGGCGAGAAAACUUUGCAAUGUGCGAAAGCACGACAAGGUUAAUCCGAGUGGUUUCUGCUAAAGAAACCUUUUGUCAGUCCUAGAAACACUGAUGAAUAAGGGGUGGGCAAGUUCUGGUGUCAGCCGCCGCGGUAAAACCAGCACCUCAAGUGGUCAGGAUGAUUAUUGGGCCUAAAGCAUCCGUAGCUUGUUUUGUAAGUUUUCGGUUAAAUCCAUACGCUUAACGUAUGGGCUGCCGGGAAUACUGCAUAACUAGGAAGUGGGAGAGGUAGACGGUACUCGGUAGGAAGGGGUAAAAUCCUUUGAUCUAUUGAUGACCACCUGUGGCGAAGGCGGUCUACCAGAACACGUUCGACGGUGAGGGAUGAAAGCUGGGGGAGCAAACCGGAUUAGAUACCCGGGUAGUCCCAGCUGUAAACUAUGCAAACUCAGUGAUGCAUUGGCUUGUGGCCAAUGCAGUGCUGCAGGGAAGCCGUUAAGUUUGCCGCCUGGGAAGUACGUACGCAAGUAUGAAACUUAAAGGAAUUGGCGGGGGAGCAC
rnacentral:rRNA from 1 species